rnacentral:rRNA from 1 species
CGGAGGAGCUAGCGUUGUUCGGAAUUACUGGGCGUAAAGCGCACGUAGGCGGCGAUUCAAGUCAGAGGUGAAGCCCGGGCUCAACCCCGGAACUGCCUUUGAAACUAGAUUGCUAGAAUCUUGGAGAGGCGAGUGGAAUUCCGAGUGUAGAGGUGAAAUUCGUAGAUAUUCGGAAGAACACCAGUGGCGAAGGCGACUCGCUGGACAAGUAUUGACGCUGAGGUGCGAAAGCGUGGGAGCAAACAGGAUU